ACUCAAAUGAAUUGACGGGGGCCCGCACAAGCGGUGGAGCAUAUGGCUUAAUUCGAUGCAACGCGAAGAACCUUACCAGGGCUUGACAUGGAGCUGCAAGCCGCCGAAAAGCGGUCGCCUUCGAGGGUGCUUCACAGGUGGUGCAUGGCUGUCGUCAGCUCGUGUUGUGAAAUGUUGGGUUAAGUCCCGCAACGAGCGCAACCCUCACGUUCUGUUACCAGCGAGUAAAGUCGGGGACUCGGAACGAACUGCCUCUGUAAAGAGGAGGAAGGUGGGGAUGACGUCAAGUCAUCAUGCCCCUUACGCCCUGGGCUGCACAUAUGCUACAAUGGCUGCUACAAAGGGUUGCCAACUCGCGAGAGUGAGCUAAUCCCAAAAAGGCAGUCUCAGUUCGGAUUGGAGUCUGCAACUCGACUCCAUGAAGCUGGAAUCGCUAGUAACCGCAGGUCAGCAUUACUGCGGUGAAUACGUUCCCGGGCCUUGCACACACCGCCCGU
rnacentral:rRNA from 1 species